ACACAGCUAAAACAAGAUAGCAUGCCAGCACCACACAUACACUUGCAAAGUAUGCGCAAUUUCUCUGUAAACACUAGAAGUAGAAAGGGCAAAAACCAUUUCAAAAUUGCUGACAUUUUAUUGUCGAAAUCAGCCUGCCUUUAUAAUGUUUACAAAUGCAUGGUGAAUAUAAAGUAUACAUCAGCAGCGAAGCAAACUGAAAAUCAUUCCUUCCUGAACCCUCUUAUCUACCCGCAUGAUCAUCAGUAAUAUAAUGCCUUGAUACGAUAAAUGAUCUGCUAGGCACUUCUCCAAAGCCCAAAAUUUGGUCCAUCAGAUGGGGCAAGUGAAUUAUGGAUAAAUGCAGGUUAUGAAUGGCUGAAGGUUCAGUUUGUACCUGCCAGUGCCCCAGCAAGCAUCUGCAUCUAAUCUAAUUUUCAGCUGGCUGUCGACCAAUUUCACUGGACACUGAUGAAAUGCCUUGUUCAAUGCACUGGAUAGUGGAAGGAAAUGACAGUAUUUAGAAAAACAGGAUAAGAAGCUCAAGAUGAAACCACAUCUACAACUGCUGAUAUGAUAAAGAGGCAUCACUUCAUAAGAAGAAACCCAGAAACUAAUAUUUUUAAUAAGUUAGCUCUAGUAGAUGAAGCAUUAAAAAUAAAAAUAAAGAAUACAUUGCCCAGUGACAAAUGCUUCCCAAAUUGGCAUCCAUAUUUUUGGCAAAAAUAGUUUAACUCUUAAGUACAUGACAUAGGAGAGAGAAGAAAUAAAGAAAAAUUAGCAUAGUGAGAAAUAAAGAAAUGAGAAAGAAGAAUGAAAGGAAAAGAGCUAUUAGAAGGGACAAGAAACAAGAAAUCUCUCUCAUUCUGCUGCAGUAGCUUCUAAGUGCAUGCUGCUUGUCAACGCAAAAGAACUAAUAUGACUAGGAACCAACCAUUGGACUUCAAGGCGUCCAAGUUUUGUAAGGGAUCAACAUAGUCAGUGUCCAGCAAAAUUCAUAAUAUGAUGAUACUGAUUAGAAAAAGUCUACCUGAAGAAGAUAUCCAUGCAGCCAAUCAAGCGUUUGAGGGAAUGUUGUUGCUGAUAUAUUGGCAACAGUCAAACCCUGUGACUUAAACGAGCAAAGGUAGUCCUGAAUGAUUUUCAGAUUGGUAAUUAGCCUAUCUUUAUCCUGAAAGGAGAACAAAAUAAAAUAAUAGAUCUCAAAAUCAAGUAAUGAAUAAUGACAUUUAUGAAAAAUGAUAUUGAUUCCUUCCUUUUUCAAUUCUUGUACUUCCAGGGAAAAACAGUGUUUCUUUUACUGUUUCACUUUUUUUUUUUUGGUAAGAUUAUUGUUUGACUAUUUACUUCUUCACUAACCAUAUGAACCGAUGAAACCUUAGUGAACUUAAUCCUCAAGUUUGACAUUUAUAAAUCACAAUAAAAUCUUUGCAGUUUUCAACACCUGGACUGGGCAUUUAUCACUAAAUGUGCGAGUCACUAUCCACUCCUCAAGUAAUGCCUGCACAUGAGAGGAAAAGAAUGAGAAAAGAGAAAUUAAAUAUGGGAAAUUCAGAGAACAGAUGAAUAAUUAAGGGACAAUAUAAUACUAACAAAGGAAUUACUACUACGCAUUUGCAUUAAAUCCAUGGUAGGAUCUCAUGAUAUUUAGACUUGAGUGAGAGUAGACAUACCUUGUGAUCAAAUUCAGCCAUUUUCAGAACUAUGGGUAUAAUUAUUGGUUUAGGACCCAAUUUUUCUUUCCUAACAGAAGAAUCUCUCUCUCUCCUAGUAUCUGUAACAAUUUCAGCUGCAUGACCAAAACAGAAGUUUCAAAGUUACACUUUAUGCAUUCAUUCAAGAUUGAUGUUAUGGACACCUGUACUUGGAAGAGACUGAACAAAGCAAUGGACUUAUCAUCAAAACCCAGGGCAAGAGUUACCUCUAUUAUCAGAAAUACAGCCUGCUGUGGAAACAGAUUCCUGUGAAUCUGGGACAUUAUUCACCUGAUCAUCAGAUAUCCCCUCUUCCAAACUCACAUUCCCAGAAAUGGAGUUGCUAUUAUCAGUAUGACUUACACUAACACUUGCAGGAUUAUUUUCCACCUGUUUUGCAGGAUCAUUAUCAAUCACAGAUACAGGGUUUGCUUCCUUAGUUUUUUCUGGCACAUUAGCCGGUGACUUGUUUUCUUCAUCCAUUAAAUAAAUGCUUGGAUCCAAAUGUAUACCCUCAAUUAUAAUUGGCUUUCCAUCUUUCAUUGCUUUCUUCAAAUCACCAGCCAAACCUUUACGAACAAUUCGACAUUCUCUACAAAAUUCAGUAAUUAGCUCCUCAGAGGAACUGAAGUCUCGUGCCCAUACAGGAGUAGAUGCCAAUGGUGCACUAUAUUAGAUAUAAGAAAAUGAGAAUUUUAAUGUGGUCCAUCAAAACAAAAGGCUGAGCAUUGUCUAGAAUGAAUAAUCAUUUUAACCAUAGAAAUAUGCAUCUUGAUAUGGGACAAUAUUGGGGCAGGCAGCAAAAUAAAAGGUAUGGCAAGUAAAGAAUACUAAAGAAAAUAAUAUAGCAUCAGCCACCGUAAGGAGGCCAUUAGUACUUCUUUGAUAAUAGUUUUCCAAUCCUCAGAAUCCUAGUUAACACAUGAAAACUUCCCCAUUGAUAUAUUUUUUUUCUCUCGCUAUUUUAAUAUUCUGAGCAUCUUUCAGCAAUAAACCUAUAUUCUAAAUGCUCCAGGCAAAAAAACCUUCUAGUAUUGGAGAGAAAACUGCAUAAGAUCAGAAAUAGAAAUACAAUCAAAUGGUUCUCAUUUUCAUACUCUGUUGAUGUCCGUAGCAAUUCAUACACCAUAUCUGUCUGUAACAAUAGAAACAUAUAUGUCAGAAGGCAUCAAUCUGCAACCCAAAAAGAAUUAGCACACCAAACACAAUAAUUUCUUCAAGGCAAGGUGGAAAGCAAAACCUGCAAGACAUUAGGCAAAUUCAGCCUUUGUGCGAGUUGGGUAGCUAUGGUAGACUUCCCGACACAUGCAGUUCCACAAACAAGAAUGACCAAUGGCACUCUUUGAUGGUGAAAUCUUGUCAUCAUCUUGUAACGACUGAUGUACUCUUCGCCAUAACCCCGCCGCUCCAUGAGCUUAAAUAGAUUAGCUUCUAGAUCAGACUGAGAGACAUCUAGAAGGCUGUUAUCUAUGAGCAGCUUCUUGAGUUCAAGAGCUAUUUUAAUAGCUACAUGAUUUGGGAUCUUAGUGACAGUCAACAUUCUGCUAAGCAAGAAUCUGGAGAGAACGUAGUAAUGAUCAGCGUGAUCGCCAAGCCACACCUUAACCUUGACAAAGUCGUAUUUGGAGGAAGCAUUGCGAGAAGAGAAAUUGACGGCGGAGAAAGAAGGAUUAUUGAAGAGAUCGGAAUCAUCUUCACCAAUGUAAUUGUUAGAGUGGGUAGUAGGGCUUGAAGAGGAAGCUGCUGGGAGUUCCUUGUCCUUCCCCAUCUUCUUCUUCUUCUUUCUCUUUUCUUCCUCUUUCCCGAUUCUU
rnacentral:misc_RNA from 1 species